rnacentral:rRNA from 1 species
AUUGAACGCUGGCGGCAUGCUUUACACAUGCAAGUCGAACGGUAACAGGCCGCAAGGUGCUGACGAGUGGCGAACGGGUGAGUAAUGCAUCGGAACGUGCCCAGUCGUGGGGGAUAACUACUCGAAAGAGUAGCUAAUACCGCAUACGAUCUAUGGAUGAAAGCGGGGGACCGUAAGGCCUCGCGCGAUUGGAGCGGCCGAUGUCAGAUUAGGUAGUUGGUGGGGUAAAGGCUCACCAAGCCAACGAUCUGUAGCUGGUCUGAGAGGACGACCAGCCACACUGGGACUGAGACACGGCCCAGACUCCUACGGGAGGCAGCAGUGGGGAAUUUUGGGCAAAGGGCGCAAGCCUGAUCCAGCAAUGCCGCGUGCAGGAAGAAGGCCUUCGGGUUGUAAACUGCUUUUGUACGGAACGAAACGGCUCUGGUUAAUACCCGGGGCUAAUGACGGUACCGUAAGAAUAAGCACCGGCUAACUACGUG